CAGUCGCCGCGGGAAAACGUAGGUGGCAAGCGUUGUCCGGAAUUAUUGGGCGUAAAGGGCUCGCAGGCGGUUUCUUAAGUCUGAUGUGAAAGCCCCCGGCUCAACCGGGGAGGGUCAUUGGAAACUGGGAAACUUGAGUGCAGAAGAGGAGAGUGGAAUUCCACGUGUAGCGGUGAAAUGCGUAGAGAUGUGGAGGAACACCAGUGGCGAAGGCGACUCUCUGGUCUGUAACUGACGCUGAGGAGCGAAAGCGUGGGGAGCGAACAGGAUUAGAUACCCCUGUAGUCCCUGUCUCUUAUAA
rnacentral:rRNA from 1 species